rnacentral:rRNA from 1 species
GAUGAACGCUAGCGGCAGGCCUAAUACAUGCAAGUCGAACGGUGUCUUCGGACAUAGUGGCGCACGGGUGCGUAACACGUAUGCAACCUACCUUACAUUGGGGGACAGCCUUUCGAAAGGGAGAUUAAUACCGCAUAAGACAGUAGCUGGGCAUCCAGCAGCUGUUAAGGAUUUAUCGAUGUAAGCUGGGCAUGCGUCCAAUUAGCUAGUUGGUGAGGUAACGGCUCACCAAGGCAAUGAUUGGUAGGGGAACUGAGAGGUCAAUCCCCCACACUGGCACUGAGAUACGGGCAAGACUCCUACGGGAGGCAGCAGUAGGGAAUAUUGGGCAAUGGACGCAAGUCUGACCCAGCCAUGCCGCGUGCAGGAUGAAGGCGUUAUGCGUUGUAAACUGCUUUUAUACAGGAAGAAACGACUCUUGCGAGAGGCAUUGACGGUACUGUAUGAAUAAGCACCGGCUAACUCCGUGCCAGCAGCCGCCGUAACAC